rnacentral:lncRNA from 1 species
GGUGCUACAAGGGCUUCUCAAUUUUGUACUUUUUCCUUUCAACAUUUUCUCUCCUGGACCCAAGAAACAUCAAAGGACUUUGUAUUCUCCAGUGAAUGAAGGAUAAAAAUUAGACAUGGAGACACUUGGUUUGGCAGAGCAGGGAUCCAAGCUAGAUAAAUUACAUUCCAGAAGUGGGAUUUCAGAUAACAUUCAGCGUGGAGUGCAGGAGUUGAAAUGGUGAGGGUAAACAAGGAGACAAGUUCAAAGAG